AGACCCGAAACCCGGUGAUCUAGCCAUGGGCAGGUUGAAGGUUGGGUAACACUAACUGGAGGACCGAACCGACUAAUGUUGAAAAAUUAGCGGAUGACCUGUGGCUGGGGGUGAAAGGCCAAUCAAACCGGGAGAUAGCUGGUUCUCCCCGAAAGCUAUUUAGGUAGCGCCUCGUGAAUUCAUCUCCGGGGGUAGAGCACUGUUUCGGCUAGGGGGCCAUCCCGGCUUACCAACCCGAUGCAAACUGCGAAUACCGGAGAAUGUUAUCACGGGAGACACACGGCGGGUGCUAACGUCCGUCGUGAAGAGGGAAACAACCCAGACCGCCAGCUAAGGUCCCAAAGUCAUGGUUAAGUGGGAAACGAUGUGGGAAGGCCCAGACAGCCAGGAUGUUGGCUUAGAAGCAGCCAUCAUUUAAAGAAAGCGUAAUAGCUCACUGGUCGAGUCGGCCUGCGCGGAAGAUGUAACGGGGCUAAACCAUGCACCGAAGCUGCGGCAGCGAACGUAUCACCCAAGACAACUUUGCGGAGUUGACGAUUGACGGAGCGAAGCGACGUCAAAGCGUUCAUUAAAGUCGAGUUGGCUUAGGGAUACGUUCGUUGGGUAGGGGAGCGUUCUGUAAGCCUGUGAAGGUGGCCUGUGAGGGUUGCUGGAGGUAUCAGAAGUGCGAAUGCUGACAUAAGUAACGAUAAAGCGGGUGAAAAGCCCGCUCGCCGGAAGACCAAGGGUUCCUGUCCAACGUUAAUCGGGGCAGGGUGAGUCGACCCCUAAGGCGAGGCCGAAAGGCGUAGUCGAUGGGAAACGGGUUAAUAUUCCCGUACUUGGUGUUACUGCGAAGGGGGGACGGAGAAGGCUAUGUUGGCCGGGCGACGGUUGUCCCGGUUUAAGCGUGUAGGUGUGUGUUCCAGGUAAAUCCGGUUCACUUUAACACUGAGGCGUGACGACGAGGCACUACGGUGCUGAAGCAACAAAUGCCCUGCUUCCAGGAAAAGCCUCUAAGCAUCAGGUAACAUCAAAUCGUACCCCAAACCGACACAGGUGGUCAGGUAGAGAAUACCAAGGCGCUUGAGAGAACUCGGGUGAAGGAACUAGGCAAAAUGGUGCCGUAACUUCGGGAGAAGGCACGCUGACACGUAGGUGAAGUGAUUUACUCAUGGAGCUGAAGUCAGUCGAAGAUACCAGCUGGCUGCAACUGUUUAUUAAAAACACAGCACUGUGCAAACACGAAAGUGGACGUAUACGGUGUGACGCCUGCCCGGUGCCGGAAGGUUAAUUGAUGGGGUCAGCGCAAGCGAAGCUCCUGAUCGAAGCCCCGGUAAACGGCGGCCGUAACUAUAACGGUCCUAAGGUAGCGAAAUUCCUUGUCGGGUAAGUUCCGACCUGCACGAAUGGCGUAAUGAUGGCCAGGCUGUCUCCACCCGAGACUCAGUGAAAUUGAACUCGCUGUGAAGAUGCAGUGUACCCGCGGCAAGACGGAAAGACCCCGUGAACCUUUACUAUAGCUUGACACUGAACAUUGAGCCUUGAUGUGUAGGAUAGGUGGGAGGCUUUGAAGCGUGGACGCCAGUCUGCGUGGAGCCGACCUUGAAAUACCACCCUUUAAUGUUUGAUGUUCUAACGUGGACCCGUAAUCCGGGUUGCGGACAGUGUCUGGUGGGUAGUUUGACUGGGGCGGUCUCCUCCUAAAGAGUAACGGAGGAGCACGAAGGUUGGCUAAUCCUGGUCGGACAUCAGGAGGUUAGUGCAAUGGCAUAAGCCAGCUUGACUGCGAGCGUGACGGCGCGAGCAGGUGCGAAAGCAGGUCAUAGUGAUCCGGUGGUUCUGAAUGGAAGGGCCAUCGCUCAACGGAUAAAAGGUACUCCGGGGAUAACAGGCUGAUACCGCCCAAGAGUUCAUAUCGACGGCGGUGUUUGGCACCUCGAUGUCGGCUCAUCACAUCCUGGGGCUGAAGUAGGUCCCAAGGGUAUGGCUGUUCGCCAUUUAAAGUGGUACGCGAGCUGGGUUUAGAACGUCGUGAGACAGUUCGGUCCCUAUCUGCCGUGGGCGCUGGAGAACUGAGGGGGGCUGCUCCUAGUACGAGAGGACCGGAGUGGACGCAUCACUGGUGUUCGGGUUGUCAUGCCAAUGGCACUGCCCGGUAGCUAAAUGCGGAAGAGAUAAGUGCUGAAAGCAUCUAAGCACGAAACUUGCCCCGA
rnacentral:rRNA from 1 species